rnacentral:lncRNA from 10 species
AAACCCAGGGCCCUGGUGGUGUAGGCACCCCAGGGAAUAUCCUGGUCUGCCGGUUGCAAAGACCGUGGGAAAAGCGUAGUAUCUGGGCCGAAUGCACCGUCCCUCAGGGCACAGUCCCUCAUGGCUUCCCUUGGCUGGCGGAGGGACUUCUCUGACCCCUUGCGCUUCCUGGAUGAGGCAACACCCCACCCUGCUUUGGCUUGCCCUCCAUGUGCUGCACGCACUGUCUAACCAGUCUCAGUGAGAUGAGCCAGGUACCUCAGUUGGAAAUGCAGAAAUCACCCACCUUCUGCAUUGAUCUCGCUGGGAACUGCAGACUGAAGCGGUUCCUAUUUGGCCACCUUGCCAGCCCAUCUCGAACAUCAUCUAAAAGGACUGGACCUACAUCUGCAGUUAACUGCACAAUGGAAGAAACGGCCUCUCCUGGGCAGCCUCAUGGAUGGGGUGAAGAGACAAAGCUUGGGAGUGUAGCAUGUUGAGCACAUCUGCUCAGAGGUAACAUUUAAGCAUUUAGGUUGUCUCCAAGCAUAAAAAUGGAAAUACUGAUCCUGUGACAACACAGCCUGAAUUUUCUGCUUUGCAGAUGCCAGAUUUAUUUUUAAAUGGUGUGAAUCAAAUCUGUGCUGAGAGGCCAACUUCAAAAUAUAAAAGAAAAAUUGGCAAUGGGAGGAUUGUGCUGGUUUGGCUGAAAUGAAGUGCUCUACGGCAUUUCAUUCUAGUGGAGCGUCUGACUGUGAAAAUCCUUCCAAUUGUAAUUUUCUUUGGCUUGUCAAAAGAGGAUUAUGAACUAAAGUCAGUGUUGCAGGAAAUGUCACCUGUCCUUUGAAAGAAAAUAAUAAAUCAAAAUGGCUUUUGUUCAUCAUGUUUAAAAUGAAAAAAAAAAAAAAGUUGAUCCACUUGGAGUCUUCUCUCAUUUCUUGACAAGGCAGUUAAAUAAAUAAAACGGAAUUUUUUGUAAUUGUUACUUCUUGCUCAUCUCAAAAGGGGAAAAGGGAAAUCUUCAUUCAAUACAUAUUCAUACAGAGAAAAUAGAAGAGCAGAGACAGAGACAGAAAGAGAAAUGAGAUGAAGAGUGAAACAAGACCCUGGUAGAGUUCCUCAAGUCAGAUGUUAAGAAAGGUAUCUUUAAAUUAUAAUUUGUUUCUUUGAUAGAUACUAUAUUACAAAUUCAAAA